UGGGGGAUAUUGCACAAUGGGCGAAAGCCUGAUGCAGCGACGCCGCGUGGGGGAUGAAGGCUUUCGGGUUGUAAACCUCUUUCGCUAUCGAACAAGGCCCGCUUAGGGUGUGCUGAGGGUAGGUGGAGAAGAAGCGCCGGCUAACUACGUGCCAGCAGCCGCGGUAAUACGUAGGGCGCGAGCGUUGUCCGGAAUUAUUGGGCGUAAAGGGCUUGUAGGCGGCUUGUUGCGCCUGCUGUGAAAACGCGGGGCUUAACUUCGCGCGUGCAGUGGGUACGGGCAGGCUUGAGUGUGGUAGGGGUGACUGGAAUUCCAGGUGUAGCGGUGGAAUGCGCAGAUAUCUGGAGGAACACCGAUGGCGAAGGCAGGUCACUGGGCCAUUACUGACGCUGAGGAGCGAAAGCAUGGGUAGCGAACAGG
rnacentral:rRNA from 1 species